rnacentral:lncRNA from 15 species
UACAAUUAAUGUAGCCAGUAACCUAAUCCAAGUAAUUAAAUUACUUUUGGGUUACCUCAACACCAAAUAUGCAAAUAACAAGAGAUAAGAAGUAUCAUUAACAAGUAUUGAUGCAAGUGUAUUAGACAACAACAAUGUAACCCUUGAAAAGAAAAUACUGUAAAUUUCCUGCUAAUUAAUAAUCCACACGUUUACAAAAUGUAACUGUAAUCUGACUACGUCUUUUUAAUCCUGUAACAGGAAUGGAUUACAGUUACAUUUUAUUUAUAUCCUUUUUUUAUAUAAUAUAACUCAGUUACAUGUAAUCUGUUACUCCCCAAAUCCUGCUGUUAACAACUUCAAUAUUUCAUCCACUAGAAGGCUGCUGUAGUUUUUUUUUAAGCUUUUAAAGAUAAAAUAAUUAUUUUAUUUACAGAAAUAUGGCUUUUUAGAGAUCCUUAGAGACUCAAACCCCCUUUUGGACGCCACAUUACUGCCACCUGCUGGCUGACAGCCUGCAAGGAAGAAACAUUAGAAAAUAAAAACGUAGCCCAGACAGUCGGUUCAGGGUCAUAAAGGAAAGUAGAGUUCAGACAGAAAUGUCCCGAGUUAAGACCUCAUAUGGACCCAGGUUUGGUUCACAGCUGGACUCCAAUCAAAGAGAUGAAUCAAGACCACAUCAGGCUAUGGACGAGUCUGAGCCCCCCGCUCAGGACCCGGGGGGCAAACGCGGGAACAAGCGGGGUAUUAGUAGCAUUAAGGGUGAAAACAGCCGGUGGAGUUUAAAAGUAAAAUUACCAAACCUCAACAAGAGAGUGACAAAGGAGGACAAACCACCGGGAGGACUGAUGUUACAGCCCGCUGCAGAUAAAGGCGAGACUACCGUGAGCCGAGGAGGACAAACACAGAAUCAGCUUCCAAAGGUCAAAAUCUUAAAACUGGGUGACUGUGGCGUAGAUGAACACAAUCAAGUGUGUAGCUAGCUAGACAAUAAC